rnacentral:lncRNA from 1 species
AAGACAUUUUCCUGUGGACACUACCUCACUGUCAACAAACGGGGACACUAAAGAACUGCCUCCCUUGGAAAAUCCCGGCUUCAAUGAAAGAAGUUAACAAGGCACUAUCAAAUCAGUUUAUUUCCCUUACUAAGAGAGACUUUGUGGACAGAUCAAAAGACAAAUUAUUGAUCGCUUUAUUCGUACUCACUGUGACACUAACAAAAAGAAGAAAUGAAAAGGGAAAAUAGUACAAAUGAAGAAAAUCUGAAAAUCAAUGGAAGCACGAGGACAUUCC